rnacentral:rRNA from 1 species
GAUGAACGCUAGCGGCAGGCCUAAUACAUGCAAGUCGGACGGGAUCUAGGAGCUUGCUCCUGGUGAGAGUGGCGCACGGGUGCGUAACACGUAUGUAACCUACCUUUAUCGGGGGGAUAGCCUCUCGAAAGAGAGAUUAACACCGCAUAACAUCACGAUGAAGCAUUUCAAUGUGAUCAAAUAUUUAUAGGAUAAAGAUGGGCAUGCGGGACAUUAGCUAGUUGGCGGGGUAACGGCCCACCAAGGCGACGAUGUCUAGGGGAUCUGAGAGAAUGACCCCCCACACUGGUACGGAGACACGGACCAGACUCCUACGGGAGGCAGCAGUAAGGAAUAUUGGUCAAUGGACGCAAGUCUGAACCAGCCAUGCCGCGUGCAGGAAGACGGCCCUACGGGUUGUAAACUGCUUUUGUACCGGAAUAAACCCUUUUACGAGUAGAAGGCUGAAUGUACGGUAAGAAUAAGGAUCGGCUAACUCCGUGCCAGCCGCCGCCGUAA